rnacentral:rRNA from 1 species
AGCUCAUUAUAUCAGUUAUAGUUUAUUUGAUGGUACCCUUACCACAUGGAUAACCGUAGUAAUUCUAGAGCUAAUACAUGCCCAGAAACGGCGGCUUCGGAAGCCGUGGACUUAUUAGAUCAAAGCCAACCCUGGUUCGCCAGGCCCAAGCUGAAUCAUAGUAAUUUUGCUGAUCGCAGAGGCAUUUUGCCGGCGAUGGGUCAUUCAAAUUUCUGCCCUAUCAGCUGUGAUGUUAGUGUAGUGGACUAACAUGGCAUAAACGGGUGACGGAGGAUUAGGGUCUGAUUCCGGAGAGGGAGCCUGAGAAAUGGCUACCACUUCCAAGGAAGGCAGCAGGCGCGUAAAUUACCCAAUCCCGACACGGGGAGGUAGUGACAAGAAAUAACAAUACCGGGUCUUUUCAGAUUUGGUAAUUGGAAUGAGUACAAUUUAAAACCCUUAACAAGGAACAAUUGGAGGGCAAGUCUGGUGCCAGCAGCCGCGGUAAUACCAGCUCCAAUAGCGUAUAUUAAAGUUGUUGCAGUUAAAAGGCUCGUAGUCGAACUUUUAGCCUCUCGUUCCAUGUCCCGCGGCUCAGGCUGCGUCGUGACGUGGCGAAGGCUUUCCUGGUGGAAAGCGUUUCUGCCCUUCAUUGGGUUGGUCUCGUAAUCCAUCUCUUUUACUGUGAGAAAAACAAAGUGCUCAAAGCAGGCUUUACAGCUUGAAUGCGUUAGCAUGGAAUAAUAAGAUAGGACUUUGAUUCUAUUUUGUUGGCUCUGAGAAACAAAGUAAUGAUUGAUAGGGAUAGUUGGGGGUGCUCGUAUUUAACGGUCAGCGGUGAAAUGCAUGGACCCGUUAAAGACGAACUUAUGCGAAAGCAUUCACCAAGGAUAUCUUCUUUGAUCAAGAACGAAAGUUGGGGGAUCGAAGACGAUCAGAUACCGUCGUAGUCUCAACCAUAAACUAUGCCGACUAGGGAUUGGCGGCAGUUGAUUAUGACCCCGUCAGCACCUUAUGAGAAAUCAAAGUCUCUGGGUUCUGGGGGGAGUAUGGUCGCAAGGCUGAAACUUAAAGGAAUUGACGGAAGGGCACCACCAGGAGUGG